CGAAGCCUGACGGAGCAAUACCGCGUGAGGGAAGAAGGCUUUUGGGUUGUAAACCUCUUUUGUCAGGGAAGAAGAAUUGACGGUACCUGAAGAAAAUGCAUCGGCUAACUCCGUGCCAGCAGCCGCGGUAAUACGGAGGACGCAAGCGUUAUCCGGAAUCAUUGGGCGUAAAGGGUCCGCAGGUGGCGAAUAAAGUCUGCUGUUAAAGACCGGGGCUAAACUCCGGAAAGGCAGUGGAGACUGAUUAGCUAGAGUACGGUAGGGGUAGAAGGAAUUCCCAGUGUAGCGGUGAAAUGCGUAGAUAUUGGGAAGAACACCGGUGGCGAAAGCGCUCUACUAGGCCGAAACUGACACUGAGGGACGAAAGCUAGGGUAGCGAAAGGGAUUAGAUACCCCUGUAGUCUUAGCGGUAAACGAUGGAUACUAGGUGUAGCUUGUAUCGACCCGAGCUGUGCCGAAGCUAACGCGAUAAGUAUCCCGCCUGGGGAGUACGCACGCAAGUGUGAAACUCAAAGGAAUUGACGGGGGCCCGCACAAGCGGUGGAGUAUGUGGUUUAAUUCGAUGCAACGCGAAGAACCUUACCAGGGCUUGACAUGUCGCGAAUCUAGCGGAAACGUUAGAGUGCCUUAGGGAAUGCGAACACAGGUGGUGCAUGGCUGUCGUCAGCUCGUGUCGUGAGAUGUUGGGUUAAGUCCCGCAACGAGCGCAACCCUCGUCCUUAGUUGCCAAUAUUAAGUUAGGCACUCUAGGGAGACUGCCGGGGACAACUCGGAGGAAGGUGGGGAUGACGUCAAGUCAGCAUGCCCCUUACGUCCUGGGCGACACACGUACUACAAUGGUUGGGACAAAGGGCAGCAAGCUCGCGAGAGUAAGCGAAUCUCAUCAAACCCAGCCACAGUUCAGAUUGCAGGCUGCAACUCGCCUGCAUGAAGUAGGAAUCGCUAGUAAUCGCAGGUCAGCAUACUGCGGUGAAUUCGUUCCCGGGCCUUGUACACACCGCCCGUCACACCAUGGAAGCUGGCUACGCCCGAAGUCGUUACCCUAACCCGGUUUUGGGAGGGGGAUGCCGAAGGUAGAGCUAGUGACUGGGGUGAAGUCGUAACAAGGUAGCCGUACCGGAAGGUGUGGCUGGAUCACCUCCUUU
rnacentral:rRNA from 1 species